AUGAACGCUGGCGGCGUGCCUAAUACAUGCAAGUCGAGCGAACAGACGAGGAGCUUGCUCCUCUGACGUUAGCGGCGGACGGGUGAGUAACACGUGGAUAACCUACCUAUAAGACUGGGAUAACUUCGGGAAACCGGAGCUAAUACCGGAUAAUAUAUUGAACCGCCUGGUUCAAUAGUGAAAGACGGUUUUGCUGUCACUUAUAGAUGGAUCCGCGCCGCAUUAGCUAGUUGGUAAGGUAACGGCUUACCAAGGCAACGAUGCGUAGCCGACCUGAGAGGGUGAUCGGCCACACUGGAACUGAGACACGGUCCAGACUCCUACGGGAGGCAGCAGUAGGGAAUCUUCCGCAAUGGGCGAAAGCCUGACGGAGCAACGCCGCGUGAGUGAUGAAGGUCUUCGGAUCGUAAAACUCUGUUAUUAGGGAAGAACAAAUGUGUAAGUAACUAUGCACGUCUUGACGGUACCUAAUCAGAAAGCCACGGCUAACUACGU
rnacentral:rRNA from 1 species